UACGGAGGAUCCGAGCGUUAUCCGGAUUUAUUGGGUUUAAAGGGUGCGUAGGCGGACUAGUAAGUCAGUGGUGAAAUCCUGCAGCUUAACUGUAGAAUUGCCGUUGAUACUGUUAGUCUUGAGUACAUUUGAGGUAGGCGGAAUGUGGUGUGUAGCGGUGAAAUGCAUAGAUAUACCACAGAACACCGAUUGCGAAGGCAGCUUACUAAACUGUAACUGACGCUGAGGCACGAAAGCGUGGGUAU
rnacentral:rRNA from 1 species